GGAAUCUGCCUGGUAGUGGGGGAUAACGCUCGGAAACGGACGCUAAUACCGCAUACGUCCUACGGGAGAAAGCAGGGGACCUUCGGGCCUUGCGCUAUCAGAUGAGCCUAGGUCGGAUUAGCUAGUUGGUGAGGUAAUGGCUCACCAAGGCGACGAUCCGUAACUGGUCUGAGAGGAUGAUCAGUCACACUGGAACUGAGACACGGUCCAGACUCCUACGGGAGGCAGCAGUGGGGAAUAUUGGACAAUGGGCGAAAGCCUGAUCCAGCCAUGCCGCGUGUGUGAAGAAGGUCUUCGGAUUGUAAAGCACUUUAAGUUGGGAGGAAGGGUUGUAGAUUAAUACUCUGCAAUUUUGACGUUACCGACAGAAUAAGCACCGGCUAACUCUGUGCCAGCAGCCGCGGUAAUACAGAGGGUGCAAGCGUUAAUCGGAAUUACUGGGCGUAAAACGCGCGUAGGUGGUUUGUUAAGUUGGAUGUGAAAUCCCCGGGCUCAACCUGGGAACUGCAUUCAAAACUGACUGACUAGAGUGUGGUAGAGGGUGGUGGAAUUUCCUGUGUAGCGGUGAAAUGCGUAGAUAUAGGAAGGAACACCAGU
rnacentral:rRNA from 1 species